GCUUUGAUGGGGUAGUGGUAACCUGGAUCGUUGCCAUAGAACUAGUUCAUUGAGUAUCUCGAUCCGCCGGGGGUUCGAUUCCCCCUCAAAGCA